rnacentral:rRNA from 1 species
AACGAACGCUGGCGGCAUGCCUAACACAUGCAAGUCGAACGAUGCCUUCGGGCAUAGUGGCGCACGGGUGCGUAACGCGUGGGAAUCUGCCUUUCGGUUCGGAAUAACUCAGGGAAACUUGAGCUAAUACCGGAUAACGUCGCAAGACCAAAGAUUUAUCACCGAAAGAUGAGCCCGCGUAGGAUUAGCUAGUUGGUGAGGUAAAGGCUCACCAAGGCGACGAUCCUUAGCUGGUCUGAGAGGAUGAUCAGCCACACUGGGACUGAGACACGGCCCAGACCCCGACGGGAGGCAGCAGUGGGGAAUAAUGGAAAAUGGGCGAAAGGCUGAUCCAGCAAUGCCGGGUGAGUGAUUAAGGCCUUAGGGUUGUAAAGCUCUUUUAACCGGGAAGAUAAUGACGGUACCGGGAGAAUAAGGCCCGGCUAACUCCGUG